GAGUUCAGAUAGAAUUUCCUGAUCCUAAUCGGCGUUGUGAACGCGAUACGCUACGCUGAGCUCGAGGCCGACUCUGUAUCACAAAGAUCAAAGGACCUAACACCGACCUCUACAGUCAAGCGUGAAGAGCGGCCACGCUUCGCUGCUCACCGGCACGUGACUGGC